rnacentral:lncRNA from 1 species
UAUCCUCAAUAAUCGUUGAUUCAUCUGUGGAGUUAUGCCCGGUGUUACCUCUGAGAGAAAAUCGUCAAACUCCGAUGGAGAAGUUGUAGUAAAUAAUUCUUCAAAAUAGUCUACCGCAACUUUCUCUACUCCAUUAUCCUCUGUAAUCCAAUUUCCCUCAACAUCAUGUAGCCCUACGAUCCUAUUACGGACCCUCCGUUGCUUAGUUAAAGCGUGAUAGAAUUUUGUGUUGAGGUCUCCUGAUGAAUACCACAUAUUUCUACUUUUCUGAUGCCAGUACUCCUCUUCGUCCUUGUAUGCCUCUUGCAACUUCCUAGACACCUCCAAAAUAUCCUCCUGAGACCUAGUAUCAUCUGUUUGUACCUCUUCGAGAGCUUUAUGUAAGUCUGAUAUCUUUUCCUUCCCAUAAGGUGGAUUAUUUUUCCUCCAUUUGGAUAUUUCGUGGUGGCAAUUACUAAUUUUUGCCACUAUACCAGUUCAUGUUCCUUCACUAUAAUCUGACCAUCCCAUUGUAAUUGAUUCCAUAAGGCCUUCUUGUCCAACUCAUCUCUUAUCAAAUCUAAACUGCCCUUUUCUCCGGGGGACUUUAUCUUCUAAGUAAGCCACCACUGGGCGGUGAUCCGAUGCCACCAUCCCUAAAUAUUCUGUAUAAGAACAUGGGAAUAGAGUGUACCACUCCUCAUUCGCUAAUGCACGAUCUAAACGACAUCUAACCAUUACUGCCCCUUUGCCUUUGCCCCUUCUUCCUUGCCAUGACAACUUAUUUCCCUUGACAGGAAAUUCCAGUAAUCCACAAUUCCUUAUCAUAUUAUUAAAAUGAACAAAUGAGUUUGCACUUCUCAAAGCUCCACCCUCU